AUUGAACGCUGGCGGCAGGCCUAACACAUGCAAGUCGAACGGUAACAGGAAGCAGCUUGCUGCUUUGCUGACGAGUGGCGGACGGGUGAGUAAUGUCUGGGAAACUGCCUGAUGGAGGGGGAUAACUACUGGAAACGGUGGCUAAUACCGCAUAACGUCGCAAGACCAAAGAGGGGGACCUUCGGGCCUCUUGCCAUCAGAUGUGCCCAGAUGGGAUUAGCUAGUUGGUGAGGUAACGGCUCACCAAGGCGACGAUCCCUAGCUGGUCUGAGAGGAUGACCAGCCACACUGGAACUGAGACACGGUCCAGACUCCUACGGGAGGCAGCAGUGGGGAAUAUUGCACAAUGGGCGCAAGCCUGAUGCAGCCAUGCCGCGUGUAUGAAGAAGGCCUUCGGGUUGUAAAGUACUUUCAGCGGGGAGGAAGGUGUUGUGGUUAAUAACCGCAGCAAUUGACGUUACCCGCAGAAGAAGCACCGGCUAACUCCGUGCCAGCAGCCGCGGUAAUACGGAGGGUGCAAGCGUUAAUCGGAAUUACUGGGCGUAAAGCGCACGCAGGCGGUCUGUCAAGUCGGAUGUGAAAUCCCCGGGCUCAACCUGGGAACUGCAUUCGAAACUGGCAGGCUUGAGUCUUGUAGAGGGGGGUAGAAUUCCAGGUGUAGCGGUGAAAUGCGUAGAGAUCUGGAGGAAUACCGGUGGCGAAGGCGGCCCCCUGGACAAAGACUGACGCUCAGGUGCGAAAGCGUGGGGAGCAAACAGGAUUAGAUACCCUGGUAGUCCACGCCGUAAACGAUGUCUACUUGGAGGUUGUGCCCUUGAGGCGUGGCUUCCGGAGCUAACGCGUUAAGUAGACCGCCUGGGGAGUACGGCCGCAAGGUUAAAACUCAAAUGAAUUGACGGGGGCCCGCACAAGCGGUGGAGCAUGUGGUUUAAUUCGAUGCAACGCGAAGAACCUUACCUGGUCUUGACAUCCACGGAAGUUUYCAGAGAUGAGAAUGUGCCUUCGGGAACCGUGAGACAGGUGCUGCAUGGCUGUCGUCAGCUCGUGUUGUGAAAUGUUGGGUUAAGUCCCGCAACGAGCGCAACCCUUAUCCUUUGUUGCCAGCGGUCCGGCCGGGAACUCAAAGGAGACUGCCAGUGAUAAACUGGAGGAAGGUGGGGAUGACGUCAAGUCAUCAUGGCCCUUACGACCAGGGCUACACACGUGCUACAAUGGCGCAUACAAAGAGAAGCGACCUCGCGAGAGCAAGCGGACCUCAUAAAGUGCGUCGUAGUCCGGAUUGGAGUCUGCAACUCGACUCCAUGAAGUCGGAAUCGCUAGUAAUCGUGGAUCAGAAUGCCACGGUGAAUACGUUCCCGGGCCUUGUACACACCGCCCGUCACACCAUGGGAGUGGGUUGCAAAAGAAGUAGGUAGCUUAACCUUCGGGAGGGCGCUUACCGC
rnacentral:rRNA from 1 species